rnacentral:rRNA from 1 species
CCGAGUGGUGUGGACGUUUAUUGGGCCUAAAGCAUCCGUAGCUGGCUGGACAAGUCCCCUGUUAAACCCACCGAUUUAAUCGUUGGCUUGCGGGGGAUACUGCUCGGCUAGGGGACGAGAGAGGCAGACGGUAUUCCCGGGGUAGGGGUGAAAUCCUAUAAUCCCGGGAAGACCACCAGUGGCGAAGGCUGUCGG